rnacentral:tRNA from 1 species
CCGUCGAUAGCUCAGUUGGUAGAGCGGUGGACUGUAGAGGUUUCUGACUAUGGAUAUCCAUAGGUCGCUGGUUCGAAUCCGGCUCGACGGA